CAGCUUCACAGAAAACAAGCAGCAGUUUGGGGCAAAACAAUCCCAAAUAUCACAAGAAUCCAUUAUUCAACGAGUCGAACUGUACGGGGAAAAUUCUGCCGAACCUUCUUCUUACUAAUUCUAAUGCCUGAAAAACCAUAAAAACAUUCUUUAAGCAUGAAGGUAGCAAUUAAAGAAAAACUAUUUCAACCAUCUGACCUUGCUGUGCUCCUGACCGAGUUUGGAUCGACUACAUCAUUCCAAACAGAUCACACGAACGUUCGGCCUCUCGUUCAACACGGACCCCCAGGAAAUAUAACGCCUCCACCACCUAGUGACUGAGGAAGCAAGAUGGAAAGAACAGACACUGAAAUCACUGAGAAGGGACGAAACUACUGAACGUCAUCGUUCUUUAACGUGAUGCUACCACCAGCACGCUUCACGGCGGUGUGCUCGUGGUCAUGAGCGUUGUCAUGCUUUCUAGAAGCAGACGUUAUGUAAUGGUGUGAGAGCACAGCUGCAACAGGAGCAGAGUUCUCACAGCGGAUGCAGAUCAUUGACCUCAACGACAUUAGCUCCGCCCACAACAACGACCUCAAGAACACGCAGGAUACACAGAAAUAGAUCUUUAUCUGCAGGACACAAACAAAAAAGUCACAAAAGUGUUAGGUUUUUAUUUCCACAUGGGCGUGAGCGAGCGAGCGGUCACAGGUGAAGCACGCGGCCAUUAACGUGAGCGAGAUGUUAACGAUCUGUGUUCCUGUAGGUGAAAUGAAUUGUGAGCAGAAUUGUGACACGAUAUCUACAAACACAAAUAAAAUAAUGGAACAGAAAUAACAGACGGAUUUCAGGUGACUGUUCCGGGACAUGUGAGUGCAUGAGAUGAAGAAGCAGUGAGACGUCGGUGUCGUGUCUAACCUGAUGUCCCCUCAGCACAAGCACGUCACAUGACCUGGUAGAUCUCAACCAUUAGCUGUGUUUCAACUGGUAAUGUGGUUUUUCUGUGUUUCUGUAAGUUAUCAUCAUCAUCAUCAUCAUCAGCAUGACUCUGUGUGUCCUCCACAUUGGUUGUUACCUCCACAUUGUACUUCCACACCCUGCACUUGUCUCUGCCUCCAUCUGCAUAAUGAAAAACAGACAAAAUAACUUUGGUUUUGUUUAUUAACACGUUUACUUUGGCUGUGGUCUCAAAUGUUUACACAGAAAAACAUUUCUGUGUAUUUUAUUUGAGAAACAUAUUCUAUCACUGUUGAGAACUGCCUCUGCCCUGCCCCCCACCACACCCCAAACACCUAAUCACCCAAACUGCCUCUGCCCUACUUCCACCACACCCCAAUCACCCACAAAUCACCCAAACUGCCUCUGUCUUUCCGCACCACACCCCAAACACCCCUGAAUAACCCAAACUGCCUCUGUCCUGCCCCACCACACACCAAUCACCCCUGAAUCACCCAAACUGCCUCCUCGUUAUUUAUAUUUUGCGAAAUAAAAAACUAAUUCAUAAGAAAAUGUCAUGAGCAGUUUCAGAAAAACACAAAUAACAAUCAUGUGAGUGAACUGAAAUCUGACCCCAGAAAUCAAACCUGUGAUGACAGGAAUACACUGGGAUCCAAUAAAUAAAUGUGUGUGUGUGUGUGUGUGUGUGUAUGUGUGUGUAUGUGUGUGUGUGUGUAUGUGUGUGUGUUAUGUGUAUAUGUGUGUUUGUGUAUAUGUGUGUGUAUG